ensembl:lncRNA
UCUACACUUCUUUCUGCAAGCAUAACAUCCUGGGACAUCUUCUGGGGGAGAAGCGAGGGACAGCAUAAUCUAAUUAUGGAAAUAGGGCUGGUGAAUUCCUAAUUUAAUUGUGUUUUAUUUAUGCCGCAGGGAUGUUUGCAGAUAAGUAAUAGCUAAGUGUUCACACAGAAUUAUGAGCACAUAAACGUUUUAUAGUCAGUGCAAUAUAGCUAGUAGUGGCAAUUCAAAUCUGGGAUCAUGCUGGACAAGUAGUUCAUUUGGAGAAGAUAUACUACAUACAAAGGCAGCUCUGAAAGUAGUGCUUUCUAUUUUGUUAUGUUAUCUCAUGACAUCAGAGGUGGAUGUUGGUGGUAUGGCAGUAGAGGUUUGUAGCAGAAAUGCUAAAUGACAGCUUGAAACUGACUGAGCACCUGGUGGGAAGGCAGGGCCAACCCAGGGGAGCUCAGCUGUAUGCAAUUUGUUCAAGUGACCAGAAGGGGUGGAACCAGGAUCCUCCCCUUCCCAUACCACAUUUAAGGGUUGGCAGUGGAAGCAAAGUUACCUUGUUGGAGGUUCUUGUCUUUGUGAGGCCUUGUGAAGUCAUCAAAUGAUUUGGGACCAUUUGGCUCCUACUCCACCUGGCCUACUGACAUCUGUUGGGAUCACGUGUUUGUUGUGGGACUGCUACUGAGAUGGUGACAACACCUGGAAGAAAAAGAAGGAAAGGAGAAAGCUACCUCUUCAAAAAGCAGAAUAAUCUCAUUGAUUAUCACUUUGAUGCAUUAUUUAUCAUAUAAGUGUAUACAGGUGGCCACUUUACCAGAUGGACUGCCAUUGCACAUGUGAAAUAGAAGUUGCUGAGUGAUUGCCUUUUUCCCUUCCUUGCUGUCUAGAAACUUACUUUCUUUAGCUGCCACAUGCACCAAUGGCAACUGGGGAAGCAAACACAGAAAAGUGAAACUGGGGCCCUUGGGGACACCUGAAGCAUGUCUGUGAGCACAGACCAAGUCUCCAGUGCUCUCAUCACCUGACAUUUUUAAUGGGCAAUGCUUUUCCACAAGCAGGCUGCCUGGACAGGAGGGAUGCUGUGCCGCAUGACACUUUGGUAGGAUCUCUUCCCUACCCAUCCCACAUAGUUGCAGAGCUCUCACUAUACCACAAAGUAUUGUAUGUAUGAAAUGUGGAAAGAAUGCCUUUUAGAAAAGCAUGUAGCUCAAAGCAUGCAGACUUUACCAUCACAAUUGAUACCUGGAGUUUCAAAGAGGAAGGGCAGUGUUUUCAAAGAUGUGUUUUUUGAGGUUUGCUGCCUGGCCUCUGGCAUUUUGAGGCUGAUCCCAAGGACUGCACCUUACUGGCUGAGUGAGGCAUAUGGUCCCACAGCAGAGCGUGGCAUGUACAUGGUUAAAUAAACAGGUGUUUUGAGGCCUUGAAUUUGGGGCAGAGAUAUGAUAAGAACCUGCGUGGACUUAAGUCCUACUUUGGUCUCUUUGUAAGUCAUGGACUUUAUCAGGAAUGGUACGAUGUUAGUGCCUGAAGUCAGGAGAAGAAUGCAGAUGUGCUUUGAUAGGGCCUACAGUGGGAAAUAAGAAGCCCAACUGCAUGCAAAAAAAAAAAAAAGACCCCAUUGCAUGAGGAAAUCUCCACUUUGAAGGGUUUGCAUUUGAAAACUUAUAUUUUCUUCAGUGAACUCCCUGGAAGUGUGAAGGUAGUGAAAAUCCAUGGCUUAUGGCUUUUUCUACUGUCACCUAAAAGUUAGAGGAAGCAAAUUCCAUGUUAAAGCUUUAAGAUCUGUGCAAGCAAUACAAAAACAAAGUAGGUUAGUCUGCUCUGAAACAGCAUGCGACUUGUGGUGGUCUCCUGAGAAACACUUCCUAUUUCUGUUUGGAGAAUGUGUGGCUACACAGUGAUUGGGGGCCCAUCAGAAAAAGAUGGAGGGGAAAAAGGGGAAAUGAGUUCCUUCAAUUUCUUUAUAAGCUUCAGGAUUGUUCCUCAGUUUUCUGACAGAAGCCUGUUUUGAAUGUACAUCUGUGAGGGAUUUGUUAUAUAGAAUAGACAGGAGAUGCACUGUGUUUAUUUACCCAGAGAGAUGAAAUUCUCAAUUCCCGGUUGCGGGAUGUCCUCAGGCAUGCAGAAGAGGAGAGGGGGGGGAAAAAAGAGGGAGAGGCAAUUUCAUAAGCCAGGUGGUUUAACUCUGCUCUGAAAAGCUGGAUCCCAUCCUCCAUUAGUUCCUAAGUAAUACCAGACGAGUCGUGGAAUUAAACUGGAAGAAAAAUAGGAGUUUCUGAUUUCCCAGGUGCUCCUUUAAUACACUGAGGCUGGAUUUACAGAAGGGAUGAGUGUUCACAAAUGAAAUGUAAAUAUAAGAAGCUGUAUGGAGCAAGAAUCUCUGGAGGAAAAGAGAAGUGACAAGGCUCAAAUUUAUGAUUCCUUUUGACUGUGACACGUCUGGGCAUCAAACCCCAGUCUGCGGAGUGAGAUCUGAUUUCACUGGGGAUGACUGUGCUCACAGCAGUAUUUGUGAUGCGCUCAGACACUGCUGUAAUGACUGCAUUAAGAGUCCCUGAAGAAAUAAGUCAUCCUUUUUUUCAGUCUGACAACUUUACCAUAAAUAAAACACAAUUUAGAGUGGGGCUCUGCUGGACUGGGGUGGGUGAGUGUGGAACAAGCCUGAGUAUGUCUGUGCUGUACUCUGAGUGUGCCCAAAGACAAGACUGUGGUACCAAGCAGACAUGAUUAUGCCACUUUUGGGGAUGUUUAUGUAUGUUGGGGUGUGAUACUUCACCAAAUGAAUAAAUCCUUCCAGAACUGGUGUGGUGCAGAGACAUCUAAGCUGGCUCUGGAUACACAUAUAAAGGAUCUAGGUCUGGUGCUGUGUAUGAUCUCUCUUUUUCCAGAUAAAGGUAAGGUGCUCAUGGCACAGUAGUAAGAUAGCUA